rnacentral:rRNA from 1 species
GGUAAUACAGAGGGUGCAAGCGUUAAUCGGAAUUACUGGGCGUAAAGCGCGCGUAGGUGGUUUGUUAAGUUGGAUGUGAAAUCCCCGGGCUCAACCUGGGAACUGCAUCCAAAACUGGCAAGCUAGAGUAUGGUAGAGGGUGGNUGGUGGAAUUUCCUGUGUAGCGGUGAAAUGCGUAGAUAUAGGAAGGAACACCAGUGGCGAAGGCGACCACCUGGACUGAUACUGACACUGAGGUGCGAAAGCGUGGGGAGCAAACAGGAUUAGAUCCCCUGGUAGUCCACGCCGUAAACGAUGUCAACUAGCCGUUGGGAGCCUUGAGCUCUUAGUGGCGCAGCUAACGCAUUAAGUUGACCGCC